rnacentral:rRNA from 1 species
GGAUAACCCGGAGAAAUCCGGCCUAAUACCGCGUAACACCUUUUGGGAGCAUUCCCGGGAGGUUAAAGGAGAGAUCCGGCAUAGGAUGGACAUGCGUCGCAUUAGGUAGACGGCGGGGUAACGGCCCACCGUGCCGACGAUGCGUAGGGGUUCUGAGAGGAAGGCCCCCCACACUGGUACUGAAACACGGACCAGACUCCUACGGGAGGCAGCAGUGAGGAAUAUUGGUCAAUGGCCGAGAGGCUGAACCAGCCAAGUCGCGUGAGGGAAGAAUGUCCUAAGGAUUGUAAACCUCUUUUGUCGGGGAGCAAAAAGGCUCUGCGGAGUCGUAUUGAGAGUACCCGAAGAAAAAGCAUCGGCUAACUCCGUGCCAGCAGCCGCGGUAAUACGGAGGAUGCGAGCGUUAUCCGGAUUUAUUGGGUUUAAAGGGUGCGCAGGCGGCGUGUCAAGCAAGCGGUAAAAUAGCGGGGCUCAACCCCGUCGAGCCGUUUGAACUGGCGCGCUUGAGUUCAGGCGAGGUAGGCGGAAUUCGUGGUGUAGCGGUGAAAUGCAUAGAUAUCACGAAGAACUCCGAUUGCGAAGGCAGCUUACCAGUCUGCGACUGACGCUCAGGCACGAAAGUGUGGGUAUCGAACAGGAUUAGAUACCCUGGUAGUCCACACAGUAAACGAUGAGCGCUAGGUGUCCGGGUCGCAUGAGACUUGGGU